UAUAGGUCAAGCGAAUAAGUGAUUGUGGAUGCCUUGGCGAUACAGCGAUGAAGACGAGUAGCUGCGAAAAAGCUCGGAGACUGGCAAACGAGCUUUGAUCCGCAGAUGUCCGAAUGGGAAACCGGCCCGUAUGGUCAUCCCUUGCUGAAUACAUAGCAGGGAGCGAACGCAGGAACUGAAACAUCUAAUAGCUGCAGAAAGAAAUCAACGAGAUCCCAGAGUAGUGGCGAGCAAAAUGGAACACCUUUACUCUUUAGCAGUAUUUAGCGGAACGAAUGAAAGUCCGCCAUAGUGUGAUAGCCCCGUACGCGAAACAGUAUUGGAACUAGGUGUACACAAGUAGGGCGCGACACGUGAAAUCCUUCUGAAGAUGGGACCAUCCUCCAAGCUAAAUACUCGUGAUCGACCGAUAGUGAACCAGUACCGUAGGGAAAGGCAAAAAAACCCCGGAGGGGAGUGAAAUAGAUCCUAAACCGCAUGCAUACAAACAGUGGAGCCUGGAAACGGGUGACGGCGUACUUUGUAUAAUGGUCAGCGACUUAAUUCAGUGGCAAGCUUAACCGAUUAGGGAAGGCGUAGCGAAAGCGAGUCCGAAUAGGCGUUCAGUCGCUGGUGUAGACCCGAAACCAAGUGAUCUAUCCAUGGCCAGUUGAAGUCGGUAACACGUACUGAGGACCGAACCCACUAACGUUGAAAAGUUAGGGAUAGUGUGGAUAGGUGAAGCUAAACAAACUUGAAAUAGCUGGUCUCUCCAAAACUAUUUAUAGGGCCUCGUGUCUCACCUUCGGGGUAGAGCACUGUCAGUUGGGGGUCAUUGCUGAUUACCCGCCAUAGCAAACUCCGAAUACCGAAGAGUGCAAUCACGGAGACAGACAUCGUGCUAACGUCCGUGUCAAGAGGAAACAACCCAGACCGCCGCUAAGGUCCCUAAAUUGGCUAAUGGAAACGAAGUGAAGGCUAAAACAUCAGGAGGUUGCUUAGAAGCCGCCACCCUUUAAAGAAAGCUAAUAGCUCACUGAUCAGUCGUCCUGCGGAAAAUGUACGGGGCUAAGCCAGUCACCGAAGCGCGGAUGCACGUAAGUGCAUGUAGAGAGCGUUCUGUAGCUGUGAAGGUCUUAAAGGAUGCUGGAGUAUCAGAAGUGAAUGCUGACAUGAGUAGCGAUAAAGGGGGUAAAGCCCCUCGCCGUAAGCCCAAGUUUCCUACGCAACUUCAUCGCGUAGGUGAGUCGCCCUAAGGCAGCAGAAUGCGUAGCUGAUGGAAGCAGUUAAAUUCCUGCACCGUCGUAUAUGCGAUGGGGGACGGAUCGCGGAAGGUUGUCCGGUGUUGGAAGUCCGGUCCUACAUUGGAGAUGCACUUAGGCAAAUCCGGUCGUGAUUCAAGGUGUGGGCGAGCGACGUUAGGUCGCGAAGCAAUUGAAGUGUUCCAAGAAAACCUCUAAGCUUCAGUCAUACAACCGUACCGCAAACCGACACAGGUGGGAACGAGUGAGUAUUCUAGCGCUUGAGAGAACUCGGGAGAAGAACUCGCAAAUGGUACCGUAACUUCGGAUAAGUACGCCCUGUAGUUUGACUGGCUCGCGCCAGAAGGAUGAAGGUUGCAAUAAAAUGGUGCUGCGACUGUUUAAUAAAAACACAGCACUCUGCAAACACGAAAGUGGACGUAUAGGUUGUGACGCUGCCCGUCCGAAGAUAAAUGAUGGGUGCAAGCUCUUGAUUGAAGUCCCGGUAAACGCGGCCGUAACUAUAACGGUCCUAAGUACGAAUUCCUUUCGGUAAGUUCGACCUGCACGAAUGGCGUAACGAUGGCCACACUGUUCCUCCGAGACUCAGCGAAGUUAAUGUUUGUGAUGAUGCAAUCCCCCGGCUAGACGGAAAGACCCCAUGAACCUUACUGUAGCUUUGCAUUGACUUUGAACCGAUCUGGGUAGAUAGGUGGAGCUUUGAAACCGGGACGCUAGUUUCGUGAGCCGACCUUGAAAUACCACCCUGUUGUUUGAGGUUCUAACCUGCCCGUGAUCCGCUCGGACAGUGCAUGGUAGGCAGUUGACGGGCUCUCCUCCAAGUGUACGAGGAGUUCGAAGUACGCUUGUACGGUCGGACAUCGUACCUAAGUGCAAUGGCAAAAGCGUGCUAACUGCGAGACCGACAAGUCGAGCAGUGCGAAAGCAGACAUAGUGAUCCGUGUUCUGUAUGAAGGGCCAUCGCUCAACGGAUAAAAGUACUCUGGGAUAACAGCUUAUACCGCCCAAGAUUAUCGACGGCGGUGUUUGCACCUCGAUGUCGGCUCAUUCAUCCUGGGCUUAGCGGCCCAAGGUAUGGCUGUUCGCCAUUUAAAGAGUACGUGAGCUGGGUUUAAACGUCGUGAGACAUUUGUCCCUACUGUGGCGUUGGAAUCUUGACGGGCUGCUCCUAGUACGAGAGGACCGAGUGGACGUACCGCUGGUGACUGUUUCUCGCCAGAGCAUCGCAGGGUAGCUAUGUACGAAGAUAACGCUGAAAGCAUCUAAGCGGGAAACUCGCCUGAAGAUGAGGAUUCCCUGAAACUUGAUCUCCCUGAAGGUCCUUCAGACCAGGACGUUGAUAGGCGGUGUGGAGCCAGUAAUGCGUUCAGCUAACCAGUACUAAUUGCCCGUGCGGCUUUAUCCUUAACCGUA
rnacentral:rRNA from 1 species